UUGCACCCAUAUAUUUUUAAGAGCCAUCUGAUGGCGUAUGGAAUAAUGCAACGUAUGGAAAGAUAAGAAGAAAAUUAAGAGGAGUAAACCAAAAGGACUUCUCCAUCUUAAUGCAAAAAAUAAAUGGGGUGCCAUUUUCAUUUUGGCGUGUGGUUUGGCAUGGAGGUAGUUGACUUCUUAUGGAACACUUUCAUAAAAAUUAGAUAAGCCAUCUAAUAAUUUGAUGGUUCAAACCUAAUCAUAUUAGGUCAAGGCAACAAGUUUAUGGUUAGCGC
rnacentral:lncRNA from 1 species